CGAGGGAAAUAGUUAGGUUUGUUUUCCCGAGAAUCUCAAUGUUUCCAAACAUUGAGAUUCGAGGGAAAACAAAACUAACUAUUUCCCGA